CAGGUUUUAAAGGCGAGCCGGAGCGGCUGCGGCGCUCCCGACGGCUGGCAGCUCCGGCUGGGGCUGCGUUGCCCUCGGGCGCCUUCCCCGGAGCCCCGCCGCCCAAGAUGCGCCCCCGGUUCUGCCAGAAGGAGGCGAGACCUGGGACUUGGAGCCGUGCCGCAUGCUCUGUGGAUCAUUAGGAAAAAUACACUCGAGGCAGGAUACUAAUUGGUAUUACGAGCUGGGAGAGACAGAUUAGUCAUACUUCUGCUCAGAAGCGAGCAGCAUUCUGUGCGCCUCUAAAGGAUAAUAUUUCAAGGUGUACCAAGUGUACAGCUUUA